rnacentral:snRNA from 1 species
UUUCAUUUUGCAGCAUAUAUACUAAAAUUGCAACUAUGCAGACAGUAGUGUGGCCCCUGUGCAAGGAUGACAUGGAAAUUUGGGAUGCAUUCCUUAUUUUU